UACCUGCAGCUCAAGUAGUGACCACUAUUAUUGGGCCUAAAACGUUCGUAGCCGGUUUGGUAAAUGCCUGGGUAAAUCGUGUAGCUUAACUAUACGAAUUCCGGGUAGACUGCCAAACUUGAAACCGGGAGAAGCUAGAGGUACUCCUGGGGUAGAGGUGAAAUUCUGUAAUCCUAGGGGGACCACCAGUGGCGAAGGCGUCUAGCUAGAACGGGCUUGACGGUGAGGAACGAAGCCCUGGGGCGCAAACCGGAUUAGAUACCCGGGUAGUCCAGGGUGCAAACGCUGCUUGCUUGAUGUUAGUUGGGCUCCGAGCCCAAUUAGUGUCGGAGAGAAGUUGUUAAGCAAGCUGCCUGGGAAGUACGAUCGCAAGAUUGAAACUUAAAGGAAUUGGCGGGGGAGCACAGCAACGGGUGGAGCGUGCGGUUU
rnacentral:rRNA from 1 species